rnacentral:misc_RNA from 1 species
GUGUAAAUGAGGCAAACCUCAUUAACUCUUCAUCCCAAAAGGAGACCCUUUUCCAUAUGAAAUAAAAACUUGAGUUAUUCCUCUCUUAGCUUUUGGCUCAACUACGUUCCUUCAACUGCAAGUCUAUUGGUCUCAGACGUAUCUUGGAUGAUUAGUUCAACUGAUGAUGGAUGCCAUUGAAAUGGCAAGUCUUUUGUCGAAUUGACAACUCCUGCUGCAACACUACUGUUCCUUGGAGACGAGAUUAAUCCGUGCA